AGGGAUCUGAAGGUAAACGGCAGUAAUCUUCUGCUCGGGGUCUUGGAGAGAACGACGGGUAUGGCACAAAGACUCCUCUUUUCCAAUCCCAUCUUCGUUUUCCUCGCCCUCAAACCCUAGUUCCCACCUAAGGUCCCUUCCGGCUCUCCAUGGACUCCGAUCCUGACACUAACGGCGCUCCUGAACCUCAAUUAUCCGAGGACGAGAUGAGGUUGAGUUACCUAAGUUUGGAGGACUCCCGCCAUGUACCCCAGGGGGUGCGUCUUGAGAGAAAUGGCUCUUUGCCUGCGGACUUCUACGACGCCAGAGAGGAUAUCAAGCCUGAUGAUGUGGAGGCCUCGCCGCCGCGCAUGGUCACGGGGGGUCGAGAGGGAUCGUCCAAAGGGAAAAUUGGAUUGAUAGAAGGAUUGGAGAUGGACGGGGAGGCGCCACCGAGUCCCAGCAGUAGUGGAUACGCAGGUGAGAGGGGAAGCAGUGGCGGCUCCAGCGGGACCGUGGAGGCGGCCGAUAGCGGCGAGAGGGUGUUGCACGAUGAUUGGGAUAAAGGGAAGCGGCGUAUUGAUGAGGAUGAUACAUCUGCUUCUUGGAGAAAGCGAAAGAAACAUUUUUUUGUAUUGAGUCACUCUGGAAAGCCGAUAUUUUCUAGGUAUGGCGAUGAACAUAAGCUAGCAGGAUUCUCAGCAACCUUGCAAGCCAUCAUAUCAUUUGUUGAGAAUGGUGAUGAUCGCAUCAAAUUCGUAAGGGCUGGAAGACAUCAGGUAGUAUUUCUUGUGAAAGGCCCUAUAUAUUUGGUCUGUAUUAGCUGCACUGAAGAGCCAUAUGAGGCAUUAAGGGGACAACUAGAGCUUCUAUAUGGCCAGAUAUUGGUUAUAUUGACAAAGUCAAUUGACAGAUGUUUUGUGAAGAAUCCAAAGUUUGAUAUGGCCCCAUUACUGGGAGGGACGGAUGCUGUUUUCUCCUCUUUGAUUCACUCAUUCAGCUGGAAUCCUGCCACAUUUCUCCAUGCAUACACAUGCCUCCCGCUUGCUUAUUCCACAAGACAAGCUGCCGUUGCAAUACUGCAGGAUGUUGCUGACUCCGGUGUUCUAUUUGCAAUAUUGAUGUGCAGGCAUAAAGUUGUCAGUCUUGUUGGAGCUCAAAAAGCAUCUCUCCAUCCAGAUGACAUGCUCUUACUCUCAAAUUUCAUAUUGUCUACGGAGUCUUUCAGGACAUCUGAGGCUUUCUCACCAAUUUGCUUACCUCAUUACAAUUCUAUGGCGUUCCUAUAUGCUUAUGUUCAUUAUCUGGAUGUUGAUACAUAUUUGGCAUUGCUUAGUACUAAUUCAGAGGGCUUCUACCAUCUAAAAGAGUGCAGGAUUCAGAUUGAAUCUGUGCUUGUUAAGUCGAACGUUCUCUGUGAAGUUCAGAAAUCAAUACUGGAUGGUGGACUGCAUGUUGAGGACCUUCCUGUUGAUUCAUCUCUUCGAUCUGGUUUGCCAUGUCCACAUCCAAGCCAGGGCAGAGCUGGACCUUCGUCUAUGUCUGACAUUGGUGGGCCGGCAGGCCUUUGGCAUUUCAUUUAUCGGAGUAUCAAUCUUGACCAAUAUGUUUCGUCAGAGUUUUCGUCACCCUUAAAUAGUUCCAGACUACAUAAAAGAUUGUAUAGGGCUUACCAGAAGCUGUAUGUAUCCAUGCAUGAUAGACAAAUUGGUCCACAUAAAACUCAGUUCAGAAGAGAUGAAAAUUAUGUAUUACUUUGUUGGAUCACUCAAGAUUUUGAACUUUAUGCUGCUUUUGACCCUCUUGCUGACAAGGCACUUGCAAUAAAAACAUGCAAUCGGGUAUGUCAAUGGGUCAGGGAUUUGGAAAACGAGAUAUUUCUUUUUGGAGGAAGCCCUUUCUCUUGGUGACAUUAUCCAUUUUACUAACGAUGUACCAUGUGACCAUAUUGAUGGAUUCCACAUUUCUUCAGCAUUAUUACUGACAGGUUUAUUUCCACAAUCAAGUGAGCUCAAGUACCUGCGGGUUUCUGGCUCUCUUGCAACCCCACUUGAUUGGAGAGCGUUGAACAUAUUCUUCAGCGACAUAAAACCAGAUCUGUCUGCAAGAAAUAAACUAAUCUAAAAAGAUCCUGAUUAUAGAGUCGAUCAGUAGGGUGCUUUUCUAUCAAACUUCUUGAACAUUAUCUUCAUCAAUGUUUUGUUGAUCAGAGCCUUGAAGAGAGAGAGAGAGAGAGAGCUCAACAUUGCAGUAUCUUGUUUGAUUAGAUUCUAGCCUGUCUACUUAAUUUUUGGUUUUCCUAUACUUGAGAUCAUAGUUGCUAAAAUCUCAUCUGGGUCGAAAUCAAGAAGAUGGCGCUUAUUAUUGCCCCCGGCCUGAAUUCUUUUUCAUUCAAGCAGGAAAUACCCGAUAGGCUGCAGCCCUCUCCACACCAGCCUCUUCUCUUCCUCUUGGAAAGCUCUACACUGAACUAACUAUCAAAGUCGAACCAGAGCUACUAAAUUCAUAUAGGACACUUUCCCAGUAAAAUCGGCUCAUUGAUCCAGGAGACGAGGAAAACAAAUAAACACUUGUAAUUAUGUUCUUGGAUGCAGAACUAGCACAAAUAGGGCUUUAAUUUAGUUUGUUAAAUGGAAAAUUUGUUUUUCAGAUAUUUUCUUUUUGGUAUACACAGUCUUCUUGAUCCCUCAUUUAUGUGAGUCUCAUGUAUACCACUCUUAACAUGUUUGUUCAAUGGGAUAAGGAGUACUCAUUUUUACAGAUUUUGCCUCUUUUGA